AUUGCUUCUUGGCCUUUCAGCUAAGAUCACGUGUAAUGCAUGGUUUGCUCAAUUUAAUACCUAAUAUAUUCUCUAUCUGAGGACAGUAUUCAAUGGACUUUUGGAGCAGGGAGAUGGAAUAGGAGCUUAUUCCAUCCACUGUAUGCGUCAACCUGAUACUGCAGUACCUCCGAGAACGGGGCACCCCUU
ensembl:snRNA U2 U2 spliceosomal RNA